rnacentral:rRNA from 1 species
GGUUGAUCCUGCCAGUAGUCAUAUGCUUGUCUCAAAGAUUAAGCCAUGCAUGUCUAAGUAUAAACAAAUUUGUACUGUGAAACUGCGAAUGGCUCAUUAAAUCAGUUAUAGUUUAUUUGAUGGUGCUUUGCUACAUGGAUAACUGUGGUAAUUCUAGAGCUAAUACAUGCAAUCAAGCCCCGACUUCUGGGAGGGGUGUAUUUAUUAGAUAAAAAACCAACGCGGUUCGCCGCUCCACUGGUGAUUCAUAAUAACUUGUCGAAUCGCAUGGCCUUGUGCUGGCGAUGCUUCAU